AGUGAACGCUGGCGGUAGGCCUAACACAUGCAAGUCGAACGGCAGCACAGAGGAGCUUGCUCCUUGGGUGGCGAGUGGCGGACGGGUGAGGAAUACAUCGGAAUCUACUCUGUCGUGGGGGAUAACGUAGGGAAACUUACGCUAAUACCGCAUACGACCUACGGGUGAAAGCAGGGGACCUUCGGGCCUUGCGCGAUUGAAUGAGCCGAUGUCGGAUGAGCUAGUUGGCGGGGUAAAGGCCCACCAAGGCGACGAUCCGGAGCUGGUCGGAGAGGAGGAUCGGCCGCACGGGAGCGGAGACACGGGCCAGACUCCGAGGGGAGGCAGCAGUGAGGAAUAUUGGGCAAUGCCCUAAAGGGUGACCCAGCAACGCCGCGUGGAGGAUGAAUGCCGUAAGGUUGUAAACUCCUGUUAGAGGGGAAGAAAAAUCUCGAUCAAAUCGAGAACUGACUGUACCCUCAGAGAAAGCCCCGGCUAACUACGUGCCAGCAGCCGCCGUAA
rnacentral:rRNA from 1 species